CUCAAGCUACUGGGUGUUUGGGUGCCUGGCAGAGAACCUACCACUUGGGCAGAGAUCAAACCUACCACUUGCGCUGGAAUCGAACCUGUGACCGUAGCCGGAGAGAGGAACUACCACUUGCGCUGGGAUCGAACUUGUGAGCGUAGCCUGGCAGAUUUGUUUGUUUGUUUGUUUUGAGUUUAACGCCGUUUUUCAACAGUAUUUCAGUCAUGUAACGGCAGGCUGUUAACCAAGGGAGAAACUACCACUUGUGCUGGGAUAGAACCUACCACUUGCGCUGGGAUCAAACCUGUGACCGUAGCCCGGCAGAGAACCUACCACUUGUGCUGGGAUUGAACCUGUGACCAUAGCCCGGCCUAGAACCUACCACUUUGGCUGGGAUCGAACCUACCACUUGUGCUGGGAUCGAACCUACCACUUGUGCUGGGAUCGAACCUACCACUUGCGCUGGGAUCAAACCUGUGACCAUAGCCCGGCAGAGAACCUUCCACUUUGGCUGGGAUCGAACCUACCACUUGUGCUGGGAUCAAACCUACCACUUGCGCUGGAAUCAAACCUGUGACCAUAGCCCGGCCGAGAACCUACCACUUGGACUGGGAUCAAACUUGCCACUUUCGCUGGGAUUGAACCUGUGACUGUAGCCUGGCAGAGAACCAACCACUUUGGCUGGGAUCGAACCUACCACUUGUGCUGGGAUCAAACCUACCACUUGCACUGGGAUCGAACCUGUGAUCGUAGCCCGGCAGAGAACCUACCACUUGCACUGGGAUCGAACCUACCACUUGUACUGGGAUCAAACCUGUGACUGUAGCCUGGCAGAGAGCCUACCACUUUGGCUGGGAUUGAACCUACCACUUGCGCUGGGAUCGAACCUGUGAACGUAGCCAGGCAGAGAACCUACCACUUUGGCUGGGAUCGAACCUACCACUUGUGCUGGGAUUGAUCCUGCAACUUGUGCUGGGAUCGAACCUGUGAUCGUAGCCCAGCAGAGAACCUACCACUUGAACUGGGAUCGAACCUACCACUUCUACUGGGAUCGAACCUGUGACCGUAGCCCAGCAGAGAACCUACCACUUGGCUGGGAUCGAACCUACCACUUGCGCUGGGACCAAACCUGUGAACGUAGCCCUGCAGAGAGCUAAGAACUUAGGCUGGGAUAUAACCUACCACUUGCGCUGGGACCAAACCUGUGACCGUAGCUGGGCAGAGAACCUACCACUUGGGCAGGGAUCGAACCUACCACUUGCGCUGGGAUCGAACCUGUGACUGUAGCCCGGCAGAGAGCACAGCACUUGGGCUGGGAUUGAACCUACCUCUCGCUGGGAUCGAACCUGUGACUGUAGCCCGGCAGAGAACCUACCACUUGGGUAGGGAUCGAACCUACCACUUGCGCUGGGAUCGAACCUGUGACCGUAGCCCGGCAAAGAACCUUACACUUGCGCUGGGAUUGAACCUACCGCUUGUGCUGUGAUCGAACCUGUGACCGUAGCCCGGCAGGGAACCUACCACUUGGGCCAGGAUCGAACCUGUGACCGUAGCCCGGUAGAGAGCCUACCACUUGCGCUGAGAUUGAACCUACCAUUUGCGCUGGGAUCGAACCUGUGACCGUUUGAUCUUGCUGUCCUUCAAAGUGUGAAACUAAAGCUACAAGAAAGUAUUGUUUUUAGUUUGGAUUGGAACUCUGCAUUGACUUAGCCAUUGUUAGAUAGAUGCCCCUAGAUAGGGAACUCUGCUUUGCCAGAUCCAUUCUUAGAUGCCCCCUUCUCUUUCAGGUAGAUAGGGAAUUAAAUUGUAGUCUAGAGAGUGGUUUGUGAGUGAGUUACCAGUAUGAUAGAAGCUUGGCCAAGCUAAUAUUUUGGUGUGUGAAUUUUAUGUUACAGGCAUCUGGUGAUUACAGGGAAGCAGAGAACCAACUAGUCAUGUUACUGUUUGGAUUCUGGCUCUGAUUGGUUAAUGUUUGAAUUGUAUAUUACAGGCAUCUGGUGAUUACAGAGAAUCAGCUAGUCAUGUUACUGUUUGGAUUCUGGCUCUGAUUGGUUAAUGUUUGAAUUUUAUAUUACAGGCAUCUGGUUAUUACAGGGGAGCAGAGAACCAACUAGUCAUGCUGCAGGAUGUGGAUGCCUUUGUUAUCAUUGAAGUCCUCAGACAGUACAGAGCAAUGAUCCUUGGCUGUUCAUGACUGGCUGAGGCACAGAAUGAGAAAGAGAAGAUUGAGAAUAAAGAAGAGUCUACAAGCCCUUCAGGCAAGAGAUAAAGAGGGAGAGGUCAAGGAGAGAUCAUGGAAGGAAAAGUCAAGUCGCAGCAGACAUAGAGGCCAUGGAUACAGAUGACACAUAGGACGAGGUUCAUUUAUUGUCUGAUGAAAGAGGACCAUUUUUAGAAUCUCCUAUUGACAGAAAGAUGGAAACUACACAAGAAGAUGUACGACUUGUUGGUCUCGGUGCCAUCUACCAAACUACGAGGAUGCAGCAACCUUCCUGAGCUUGGAACCGUCUGAAAGUCUGCACUUGUCCGACAACAGUUUCCGGCCUGUACCACUAGAACAACAGUUUAUCGAUAAAACAGUGUAGAAACCAGUGAAGAGAUUCCAGAUAAGGAAUGAGAUUGUAUAUGAAAAGGUUAUGGAGCAUGCAGGCAAUAAUCAGGUCGUAGUGAAAAAUCGAGACCACUUUUCUGUAGUACAACAUGCAUGUUACAUCCAAUCUGAGGUGUAUUUUGAGAAGCUCUACCUGAUGUUUGGACGUGCCGGAAGAACUCAGGAUGUAAUGUUGAUCAAUCACAGUGAGUUACAGUACUACCCGUCAUUGAUGAAUCAAUUGGAGAGGCAGUUUAUUUGCAUAAUGGCUGACAAUUUGAAUGCAGAAGUAACAGUGCAUUCUAGUCAAAGAAGCAGUAGAUUGGUUAGGCUACACAUAUUUGUAUAUCCAUAUGUUACGUCACCCAACACUGUAUGGUGUAAGCCAUGACCAGAUCAAGGAUGAUCCGUUGUUACAUCAGCGACGUAAAGAUCUCGUUCAUUCAGCAGCUUGUCUUCUUGACAGACAUAACUUCAUCAAGUAUGACCAAAAAACUAGCAGUUUUCAGUCGGAAGGUUUUGUGUUGAUAGCAGAUAUGGUAUAUGUGACACAGACAGCCAGUCGACUGAUGAGAGCUGUGUUUCAGAUAGCAUUACACAGAGGCUAGGCACAGCUUACAGACCAGGCUCUUGCACUCCCUAAAAUGGUUGAUAAAAGAAUGACUACAUUCCAGUGUGGAAGGAUUAAAAAACUACACCAGACUGGCGGCCAUGACAGAUGUCAGUGGGAAAUUUAAACAUGGACUAGAUACUUUUAAUGUGUAGCAAAAAAGUUCAUCGUUGAUGGUGGUGUUUUUCUGUGAUAUUGACUGGGAUAGUAUUACUCUUCAGAAAUACAGAGCUGUCAAUGCUGCAAUUUUGUUGUGAAAUUCACAAUCCAUGUCCAAAAGUGCUUGUUUUACUAUACAGCAAAGGAGAAAUUGUACUGGGCCGACACCUUCUGACAAGUGGAUAGGAGCAGAGACAUUAUUACCAAGUUUCAAGUUUAUUUUGAAGUCGAGGCCCUCAUGGGCAUCGGACAAACAAAACAAAACAAUGCAACAUACAACAACAUAGCAUAUGGAACAAGAUGUCAUUAUUGUGAACAGUGUACAAGGAGGAUGAGAACCAGUUUCAUUCCGUCACCUGAUACUGCCGGAGAAGUAUACCCCACCAACAAAGUUGUUAGAUCUGGGCUUUGAGAAAUCCCAAUGCAGUGAAAACUUUACAUUCUUCAGCCCACUACUAACACAAGCUACGAGUGACAGCAUUGGUAAGCCAGUGCAGAUGAAUAAUUUUCAUGUCAACUCUCGACAUUCAACCAAUUGUUAACUCAAAUUUAAAAAAAAAAUGGAGAGAAGGGCUGGUGACAUUGUAGAAAAAGUUGCCCAAGAGUCUGCUGCAGCUGCAGCAAAGGAUGCUUUUAGAAAAGAGAUGGAGGAUGUGGAGCAAGUAGAAACUAUUCUUGUGUAGAUGACAGCAGUGACUGUAUCUCUUCAAAAUGAGGAAAAAAGGUCAACCCAGUCAUCAUCAACACUCUGUCAACAUAACUGCUGUCAGAACAAGGAAAAAACGGUUUCCAUGCCAAACUAGAACUGGAAUGUCAUGUGCAGUAGACACGGCUUGGCACAAAAGGGGAUUUGACAGUUUAACGUUUCAAGGCGGACAUUUUCCUCAUAUCACACUGAUAGCUGCUGCAGAGCUGAACAGCCGGACAGUUUCCUCAUAUCACGCUGAUAGCUGCUGCAGAGCUGAACAGUGGACAUUCCUUCAAUACAUACGUUUACCUAAAACACUGAUCACCUCAACAGCCCAACAAGUUACUGGCAUUGUAAUGUCGGGACGUAAAUCUAUGUCAGUAAUUGGAAUGCCAGUGGAAGCGGAAUUUAUAACUCCAUCACUGGACAAAUUUUGUAAAUGGCUAGAACAAUUUGACAGUGUCAUUCUGAUGGCCCGCAGUGGCAGAAGAUUUGACUUUCCAGUUCUGAUGAAAGCAGUAGCUUGUUGUAAAAUUCUUUUUUUAAAUGUGUGUCUGGAUUUGUUGAUUCUCUAACAGUUUUACGCAAACUUUUUCCUGGCAGUUUCGCAUAGAAGCAAGAUCUUGUACAGGAAAUUUUGAGUGAAAGUUAUGGAGCACAUUAUGCCACGGAGGAUGUUAAAGCAUUAGGAAAUCUUUUAAAAACGUGACAAUAUCGCCUAAAACAAUGCUUUCAUUUAAUUAUUCUCCAAAAUCUGUACAUCAGAUAUUCAGGCCUCAACCUAAAUCAUUUGAAAAUAAUUGUCAAGCACAAGGGAGAAGAUGGGCUGAAGAACACGUACAUUGUUGAUAUAGUGAAGGACAACCAUGUGUUACAGACACAAAGAGGGCAUUAGAGACGGUUACUCCAAACCUUGUGGAGUAUUUAAAAAUUAUUUUAUUAUAUCUCAUAGCUUAUGCCCCAUAUUUUAAUUUUAAAAGAGUAAGAAAUGUUCAAAAAUGAUGCGUCUUGAUCUGUAUGUCAAGUUUUAUGCUUUGAUUUGGUUAUCUUUUUUGAACUAUUAGAACAUAAUUAUUAUUACAUGUAUAUGAACAUUUUACUUUAUUAAAAAGAUUAUUACUAUAUUUAUUUUUAUGUACAAGUGUUACAUGCAUUUUUCAUUAAUAGAAGCAAAAUAAUGGGAGUUCUUUGUUUUAAAAUCCUUUGAAUUUAGGUUUUACAGUAUAAAGCUUUUGUUUACAUUUUACCCCUACUCUAAAACAAGGUAUUUUUAGAAAUUCAGAUGGUAAAAGUAGAUAUUCUUUAUGUAUUUGUUUCAUACAAUGAUACAGAUAAUUUGUAUUUAGUCACUACACAUGUAACAUUUAUAACUUUAAAAAAAAUGUUUUUUUUCCUGAAAAUUGCCAGCUUUACGACUGACUGUAUAGGAGAAAAAUAUUUCAAAUAAAUUCUUGUACAAAUGUAUGUCAUAAAUCUUUAUAUAUAUUUAUUCAACAUUGUUUUAGUAGUGAACUUACACUGAAACUGUUGUAUUUUGAUAAAUUUGAAAAAAAAAAUAUGUAGAAUUUCACGUAGUUUAUUUCAUUUUUUAGUCAAAUCUGCAUAUAAGGGGUUAUGCUCUUUAUGAUUUUAUAUAUAUAUAUAUAUAUUUUUUUUUUUGAAUGGUUAAAAUCAUUCAAAAUUUUAGAAAUAAUUCAGCCAAGUGAUACAGAUAAUAAAAAUAAAAAGCUUGGUUAGAUUUGAAAUGUGACCAUUUAGGGCCCUAAAUCCUUCAUUAACUCAUUUUGGAUGUGUCUGUUCAUGAUGCUGUGUGGAACCUAUGUCACUGUUACAGUGUCCUCCAACCUGCCCUUCCAUGUUUCUAGCUACUUGUGAACAAGUGGCAAAAUGAGGGUAAACUGUCCAGUCAGUUUCCUGAAAACUUUAAAUUACAUUUCUUGUUUUCAGUUUUUUUGCUACAGUACAUUUUUAUAGUUUUAAAUUGUGCAAACUAAAGAGAAAAAAAAAGAUUUUUGGCAUUUUUGAAGAGUAUAAACAUAAUUAAAAACGUGAUAUUUGUCAGAAAUAACUGUAGUAUCCUGAUUUUUUUUCUAUGUUAUCAGCACAAGGUGAAAGCUCUUUACUAGUGAUCUCUGUGUGACUAAGUUGUCUUAUGUACAUUGUUUAAUAUGAGCUUUCCAAGUUCUAGCUGCCAAGUCUUGAAAUUUUGAAAUCAAGUUAUUGCAGUAUUAACCCUUACCCUGCUAAAUUUCUAUUAUGAACUUGUUCAUCUUUCAAUUUGAACAGUAAGUAUUGUAAAUGGUUUAUUUCCUGAUGCUCUCAAAGAGGCUUGUGUUCUCCCAAUAUUCAAAGGUGGGGAUGAAGAAGACCCUUAUUCUACAGGCCAAUAUCUAUGUUGCCUAAAGUUUCUGUUUCUUCAUAAAGAAAACUUAACAUCAUUCACAAAACUCAAUCAGGAUUCAUGCCAUACAGCACUACCUACUGGUAGACUAUUAGAAGCAUGGCUUUCAGAUAUAGAUUCUGGUAAAUAUAUUGGAACUGUUUUAUGGUUUUAGAUCUAUGAAAAGCUUUUGAUCUUUAUGACUAUAACAUUUUAUUGCAUAAAUUGAAACCAUCAUUUUUCAGAUAAAAGUGUUGAAUUUUUCAAAACAUCUCUUUGAAACUGAACCCAAAUGAUAAAAGCGAAAAACUCCAAAAUCUAAGUGCUUGUAACCUCUGGAGUUCCUCAAGGUUUAGUUCUUGACCCACUUUUAUUCUUACUUUAUAUCAAUGAUAUCGCUUCAGAGAGUGGCAAUAUAGACCUCUAUGCUGAUGACUCUACUAAAAAUCAGAUUAUGAUUUAGAUAAGUGCAAACUAAACUCCAGCAGAAUUUAGAUCUUGUGCAACAAUGGUGCAAUUUAAACAAUAUAUGUCACUUCAUCCAAAGAAAACAAAAUGCAUGGUUUUGUUUACUAAACAAAAAGUAACGACUGUAAAGAACUAUUUUUAAUUAUUUCCAAGUAAGUAACAUAAAUUGUCAAGGUGCAAAAAUUAUGUUGUGUUUAUAUAGACAACACGUUGUGUAAUGUUCAAACUGAAACAGUUUGCACUAAACUUGAUUCAAAAGUAGCAUUGUUGAGACAUAUAUUGUAAUAUAUGACAUACUGUAAAAUCAUUUAAUUUCGUGGGCAUGAAAUUUCGUGGUUUUGUCCAAAACAGCAAUUUUGUAGGGAUAUCAAUUUGUGGAUUUCAACUUUUGAACAUAAAAUGAAUGGGAAAUUUACUUGUUCGCUGGGAUUAAAUUUCGUGGAUUGACUCAACCAUGAAAUCCACGAAAAUUAGUCCCCCACUAAUAUUAAUGAUUUCACAGUAUGAAAUGGAAAAAAUUACUUUAUAAUGCAUAUCUAAUGUCAAUAUUUGAUUAUUGCUAAAUUGUUGCAAGCUUUGUAAAUAAGGAACAUUUUAUUCAAAGUAAUUUUUUGCAGCUAUACCUUAAAUUUUUUUUAAAGAACUGUUAUUUUCUUGACACCAUACAGUACAUCUCUGAAAUUUAAUUGAUCAUGCACUUUGGUUUUGUAAAGACAAUGAAAAUAGGAGGGAGUGUCUGAUAUCUAUGCUUUACAAUAUUAUGGGUCUAGUAGAAUUGAUUCAGUUUCAAAUUUUGUCAGUUAAUGAACAGUCAUCUACUGUUGUGCUGCUAGCUAUUGAGACAAAUGAUGAAUUGGUAUCACUCAUGCUCCCUUGCUAAGAUGUAUCUGCAGCAUGAUUGGCUGAUCUGUAUUUACCGUACAUAUGGUUAUAUGUGUUUUUUUGCACACAUCGUGUCAAGCUUAUAUUUGUAUAUAUGUGAACUGUUACACAUGUUAACUUAGACUUAGUGACAACCGCUUUGUUGUGAAUGUCUGGUUCUGACAUUAAUUAUGAACAUGUUUAUUCAUUUAUUUUUUUUCAUUGUUGUUCCAAAUUUUAAAUUCAAAACUUACUUUUGAGAUCUUACAUGUGUCUAUUCCUUGUAAAACAUUUCGUCUUAUCAGAAGAAUGCAAACGAACGUUGGUAACCACUAACUCAGCUUUUAUGAUAUUUUGUUAAAGAAAAUCGUUCUUCAUCUGUUAUUCGUUCUGCUAUUUUGAUUCAUGUGUUCCCUUUUUCUAAGACCUGCAAUCAUGAGUUUUGCUUUUGUUUCAAGGUUUAACAGGUUUUGGAAAUAAGUUGCAUGAUUACUUUGGAACUUAUAUAAAUACUCUUUGGAAUAAUCCGGCAUAUCUUCAUUCCUGUAAAUCUUGUUUAUCUUGUACAUUCGCUCAAGAUUUGCUGAUAUGUAUGAGGAUUAAUAGAGUAAUACAUUUGUUGUUUUUGUUUUUAAUAUGUAAUUAAGUAAUUUCAGUUGAUGCACUCAGGGUCACUUGUUAAGGUAAACUAAUUAAGGAUUAUUUUGUGGUUGCCCAUGUUUCUUUGUCACCUCACUUGAAAUCAGGCUAUAUGUCUCUCGAAUUAGGAAUCAAUAUUUUCGUUUUCUUGUGAGCAGUAUUAUGACACUUUAAUUUAAUUAAAAUGAAAUAAUUUUGUUUAAAUGUUCAUGAUAUUGAUAUUGCUUUUUCUGCCUUGAAUGUUUGUACUAUGUAAAUAAUUGUAAAUGUGUUAUGCUCUUCACAACUGGAGGAAUAAAAGUAUCUAUCUAUACCCUUUUCCAGCAAUGAAACAUACAAUCUAAGAUCUGCUGCUCAUAAUGACAUCAUUGUACCUUAACAUCAUACAAAUCAUGGUAAAAAAAAAAACUUUUGUUAUUAUGGUGGAAUUCAGUACCAAAUGAAAUUUGCUCAGCAUGUUUUCUAACAUCUUUUAUAAAGAAAUAUAAAAAGUAUGUCUUGCAUUUGACUCCUGAAGAAUCUCUUUGUUUAUAUCAGCUGAAUAACAACUAUGCCAUUAUGAUAUAAUUAAUAUGCAUGUAUAUAUUAUGUCACUAAUUGAUUGCCUAAAUGGAUACUUAAAGGUAAUAUCUAUUUUAAGGGGUAUUUGUCUAGGAAUGAAUGUGAUAUUAAUUAGCAUAUGUGGUAGUGUAAAUUUUAUUUGGUUGUUGUUGUUGUUGUUCAGAAGGCCACAUUUAAAAGUAAGAAGUAUCAUUUGUACUUUCCACUAAUCUUUAUCUUCAUUUGCUACCUUCUAUAGAUAAAGAUGUUAUUAUUAUAUAGAGAUAGACCCUAAAAUUUUCAAUGAUAGUAAUACAUUAAAUAAAAUCUAGAAAUUGAUUUCUAAGUCCUUGAAAUAACCAAAAAUGAUUUCACAAAUGUGAAGUUUAUGAUGAGUUUUGUUAAUAUCAAUAACAGAAGUUUUAAUUUUUAAUUUAAAAUUGUGAUCCACAAAGAAUGACAACUCUUGCCUUUGGCUAGUACUUAUAAGCAAAGAUAUCUAUUAGUUUACUUCCCUUGCAGUUACACAAUUGAAUGGAAAAUGAAAACUGUUUUAGACACAAAAUCGUACUUUUUUUGCACAACAAAAACAUUAAGGAUUUAUUCAUUUGUGUUUGAUUUACCGCUGAAAACAUGGUUCCUAUGAUUCUGUCAACUUGCACAUGGUAAAAAAUUAACUUUUAACAAGCCAAUAAUAAAAUGAAAUACCAGCAAGUAACUAACAGUGCAGAUAAUACAGUUUUGCUUGUAUUAAAAUGUUGCAAUAGAACAAUUUUUAUAAUACAGAACACCUGGUAGGAUUAGUAAAGGUGCAAUUAUAUUGAUCUCUAUUUCCUAUGCCUAUAUUACAACUGAAGACAAUCCACAUUUUGUCUAGGGUUUUCUUUGGCUGCUUACUUAUGCCUUAAACUGUAAUAUUAUUCUGUCAAGCAUUUUUAGGGUGUGUGUCAUACAAUGUGUUUCGCAUUGUUUCAAGUACUUAUUCUGUAUGCAUGCCAAAUACACAUCAAGUUGCAAGAUUUAAGGGUAUUCUUACUAAACAUUCUCAGAGUUGGGCAUGCCCCUCACCCCACUAAAACUUUAGCACUCCAACUAAACCAAAAUUCCGGAUCUGCCCCUGAAAAUUACAAACUUAGCGGCAGCUAGUUUUCACAUAUAAUAACCUGUGUGAUGGUUCAGGCAAAUUCUUUCAGCUUCAUUACAAAAGCAAUGUUUAAUUUUAGUCAAUUUCUGAAUCUAAAGAAAGUAUUAAUUCUUUGUUCAUAGUGUGUUUUUCAGUACUGAGUAGUUCAAUAAAAUCUAAUGGAAGUUGUUCAUAGUCAAAGAAAAAAUAUUUGUGAAAUUGUGAGGGUAAUGUUCUGAACUACUUGUAGUAGCCAGAAGUCAAGAAUUUAAUUAUUGGUGGUUUUUUUUUUUUUUUUAACUUUUUCUACAGUUUGAAGGGAAAUGCUUAAGGAUCUAUUUUCUACUUUGCUGAAAUCUGGACAUCUAUUUGUCAGUUGUGUUUCAAGUGUCAUAGAUGGAAAUUAAAAAUAGAUCCUGUUUUGCCAAAUAUAAAAUUAAUGCUCAUUAACUAGAAAUAGAAGUAGGCAGAUACAGUAAAACUCCUUUGGAAAACAGGUCAUGUAAGUACUGUGACUCUAAGGAGAUCGAAGAUGAACCACAUUUUACUUUUAAACUGUCUCAAGUAUUCCACUCUUAGGGUUUAUUUCAUCAAAAAAGUUUUUGAAAAGUGUAAAAACUUUUCACUUCAGUCUGGUAUGAAUAAACUAAUAUUUCUUUUAAGUAAUGAUGUGUCCAUUUUAAACCUGUUAGCCAGAUUUAUAUAUGACUGUUCUUUAGCCAGAUUUAUGUAGGACUGUUUUUAGCCAGAUUUAUGUAGGACUGUUCUUUAGCCAGAUUUAUAUAUGACUGUUCUUUAGCCAGAUUUAUGUAGGACUGUUUUUAGCCAGAUUUAUAUAUGACUGUUUUUAGCCAGAUUUAUGUAGGACUGUUCUUUAGCCAGAUUUAUAUAGGACUGUUUUUGCCUUAGAGCAGUGAAUCCAUUUAAAUCAUCCAGUCUCAUAGUUUUCCUCAUGUCUUUAACCCUUACCAUGCUAAAUUUCUAUAAUGGACUGGUCCAUCUUCCAAUAUGGGCAGUACCAUUUAUCAUUUGAAGGGGUGUUUACUAAAAAUUUACUGACUGAAUAGCGAACAGUGCAGACCAUGAUCAGACUGCACGGAUGUGCAGGCUGAUCUUGGUCUGCACUGGUCGCAAAGGCAGAACCACUUGCCGCCAGCAGUCUAAGGGUUAAUGUAUAUGAUUCCUUGAUAUUACUAGCCAUGAUAUAAUAUUGUACUAGUCAUAAUAUUAUAUUCUGUUAUAUAACUAGUCCUAAUAUUAUAUUACAAUUUUCUGCCAGUAUUACAUUACUAUUUAUUAUUACUAUUAUAUUUUUACUGUUGAUUUGUAGUGUUUUAAACUUUGUGUAUAUAUCAGAAUUGUCAUGUCUGAGUGCGCCCAAAACUGAAAAUAAAAGACAUUCUAAACUAUGAAAAAUUGAAGGCCUACCAAGGGUUACAAAUGUUAAGAGAAUACUGGAGGUAGAUGUCAUUCCAAAUUUGGCAGCAUUUUUCAACCAAUGAUUACUAUAUUUUUCUUUUUGGUACGUACUUUAUGGUUCUUUCUCGUUUUUUGUUAAAUUUGGUUAAAAUUUACGCACAAAGUUAUCACGAGUUUAGCGUGGCCUUUAGUUCAUUCGAGGUUUACUACACAAAGCGAUAACACGCAGGUUGGCCAAAUCCUGGCAUAGUAUUUGCAGAAAUAUGAGGAGAUGGUCUCAUGUCAUUUAUUCUGUAAAACAUAACUGAAAUAUUUCUGUAAGAAAUUCAUCGAUUUAUAAUUGGACGACAGUUCAAGGACAUUACCCAGUUUUUCAUAUUGUUUUUGUUCUGUUUGGCACAAUUAUUUUAUCUACUAGAAACAUUGAUGUUAGUAAAUACUCUGAAAGCAGGGGGUGGAGAGAGCCUUUUCGCUGGUCAGAGCCUCGGAUUCUCCCUACCUCCCCCCUCGUAUAUAAAAAUAUUAUAAAAAAUAGAAAAGAGUUAGGGUUGGGGAAGCCGGCUCGCAGCAUACGAUUAACCUUUCUUUCUGGGUAGUUUUUAGACGAAAUUUUAAAAAAAAAAUGCGUAAAGAUAAGAUAAUAUGACAAGUAUUUAUAUGAUAUGAUAAGUAACAUAUUAAUGUGUAAAUUUCACUGUGAUGAUAUUAUGGUUUAUGGAUGUUUCUGUGAAGUUUAUGAAGUAGAAUUUAUAUUAUUUAAGUAACUUGUUUUACAAUCUAUUCCAUCAAUAUUUUCUUUGUAAAACAUGUAUUUUGAUUGAUGUAUGUUUUUAUCAAACUUUGUUAACUUAAAUGUACUACUUGUGUUUGUAAAUAUAAUUGUGGAAAUAAAUACAGCUAGAAAAAAACAUUCAGCAUUUACUAUUGUGUGGCCAAAUGGUUAUUGUUACUGGGAACAGGUGCCCUCUCUUAUAGUAGGGUGAAAAACUACAGUACAACUUGCAUAAAGGACCACCAAUGGAAAGGCAAAAACACGGUCUUUUAAUAUAACAUAAAUUGUUCUUUGAUACUGCAGGUAGUCUCUAAAUAUAAGUGGCCUCUUGAGCAAGUUGGACUGUAUUUGAAAUAUACAUGUAGAAUUCUUUCAUGUGAAGAACUCCUUCACUUUGUUUACAAAAGUUUGAUGAUUCUACCAAAGUAUUCCUCAUGCACCCAUAAAAUAUGAAUGUUUUGGUCUUGUUAUAUAGUGGCUUGAAACUUUUAAUGUUCUUGAAACUUAUUUUACUUUAUGCUUUUGUGAUGCAAAUAGUAUAUUGUCCUCGUGUUUUGUCUAUGAGAUUUCUGUAAGUAAACUUUAAACAU